rnacentral:rRNA from 1 species
AGGACGAACGCUGGCGGCGUGCCUAAUACAUGCAAGUCGAACGGUCUUUCUAUGGAAGCUUGCUUCCACUGAGAAGAUAGUGGCGAACGGGUGAGUAACACGUGGGUAACCUGCCCAUAAGAGGGGGGAUAACAUCCGGAAACGGGUGCUAAUACCGCAUAGUUUUCUUGAUCGCAUGAUCGGGAAGGGAAAGACGGCCUUUGUGCUGUCGCUUAUGGAUGGACCCGCGGCGUAUUAGUUAGUUGGUGAGGUAACGGCUCACCAAGACGAUGAUACGUAGCCGACCUGAGAGGGUGAUCGGCCACAUUGGGACUGAGACACGGCCCAAACUCCUACGGGAGGCGGCAGUAGGGAAUCUUCCGCAAUGGACGAAAGUCUGACGGAGCAACGCCGCGUGAGUGAAAGAAGGUUUUCGGAUCGUAAAACUCUGUUGUCAGAGAAGAACAAGUUGGAGAGUAACUGCUCCAGCCUUGACGGUAUCUGACCAGAAAGCCACGGCUAACUACGUGCCAGCCGCCGC